GUCUAUUCAAAAACAGAGUAACUAUCAUGAAUAGAAGGAAAUUUCAUUGGUCUGCUCAUCUUCAUGUCAAAGGAGGUAGAUGACUUGUUAAUGCAUCAAAGAUUCUGCAAAAUUUAAUAUUAGUAGAGUUGAAGUUGGUGCUAAGGACAGUCAACGAGGACAAUGCUUACCAAUUCAGGAAAAGAUGUUGCUUGAAAUUGAAGGCUGACAUUUAUUGGUGCCCUUUCUACCUCACUAUUCAACAGAAUGGGUGGAUUAUUAUCCUCAAGAAUGCUCAAGGACCCAAAUGCCAUUCUGAUGGUGCAAAUGCAUACCCUUGAAAGG